rnacentral:lncRNA from 1 species
UCCAUUGUGUAUUAACAGAUAUUAGUGUCGUGACAUUACCUUCGACAUCUUAUAUCUGAUACCAGAAUUUCAGAAUUUUUGAUAAACAUUGCAUCAUGAAACAUAAGAGCUUUAUAGGUAUAUGCUUAAUAAACAUCUAAAAUUGCUGUAAGAUUUUGAGUACUUUGGAUCAUCUAUUCAGAACAGGUACGCUCGGGGCAUCUCCUUAAGGUUCCCAGUAGAUGAUCGCGUUUGUUUUUCUCCAACAAUGGGUAU